rnacentral:snoRNA from 1 species
CCUUACAUGAUUAGGAACACUAGUAUUAUUUUUUACUGAGGAAGUAUAUGCAGGACAAAUUGUUUUAGGAAUUCUUCGUUUAUGAUAAAGG